rnacentral:rRNA from 1 species
CAGUCGCCGCGGGAAUACAGAGGGUGCGAGCGUUAAUCGGAUUUACUGGGCGUAAAGCGUGCGUAGGCGGCUUCUUAAGUCGGAUGUGAAAUCCCUGAGCUUAACUUGGGAAUUGCAUUCGAUACUGGUUAGCUAGAGUGUGGGAGAGGAUGGUAGAAUUCCAGGUGUAGCGGUGAAAUGCGUAGAGAUCUGGAGGAAUACCGAUGGCGAAGGCAGCCAUCUGGCCUAACACUGACGCUGAGGUACGAAAGCAUGGGGAGCAAACAGGAUUAGAUACCCGGGUAGUCCCUGUCUCUUAUAC